GGGGGCCUAACUGGCAGUUCGACGGGGGCUCAAAUUUCAAAAGUUUUCGGAUGGACGAGAGAUAAGCUUAGUGGCGGACGGGUGAGUAACACGUGAGCAACCUGCCUUUCAGAGGGGGAUAACAGUUGGAAACGACUGCUAAUACCGCAUAACGCUGCGAUGGGGCAUCCCGAUGCAGCCAAAGGAGCAAUCCGCUGAAAGAUGGGCUCGCGGCCGAUUAGCUAGUUGGUGGGGCAACGGCCCACCAAGGCGACGAUCGGUAGCCGGACUGAGAGGGUGAACGGCCACAUUGGGACUGAGACACGGCCCAAACUCCUACGGGAGGCAGCAGUGGGGAAUAUUGCACAAUGGGGGAAACCCUGAUGCAGCGACGCCGCGUGAGUGAAGAAGUAUUUCGGUACGUAAAGCUCUAUCAGCAGGGAAGAAAAUGACGGUACCUGACUAAGAAGCCCCGGCUAACUACGUGCCAGCAGCCGCGGUAAUACGUAGGGGGCAAGCGUUAUCCGGAUUUACUGGGUGUAAAGGGAGCGUAGACGGCAGCGCAAGUCUGGAGUGAAAUCCCAUGGCUUAACCAUGGAACUGCUUUGGAAACUGUGCAGCUGGAGUGCAGGAGAGGUAAGCGGAAUUCCUAGUGUAGCGGUGAAAUGCGUAGAUAUUANGAGGAACACCAGUGGCGAAGGCGGCUUACUGGACUGUAACUGACGUUGAGGCUCGAAAGCGUGGGGAGCAAACAGGAUUAGAUACCCUGGUAGUCCACGCUGUAAACGAUGAUUACUAGGUGUUGGGGGAACAGGGUCCUU
rnacentral:rRNA from 1 species